AGCCCUCUGUAUCCGUGCUGAGAUUUUGUCACACACCAGAUCACAAGGGCUGAUGAGACUCGUAAGAUAUGUGCAGCG
rnacentral:pre_miRNA from 1 species